GCUGUAACAGGCCAGUGGGGACUCCCAGAUCCUAUUGCAACAGAAAACACAGGUAAAUCCGUAUCUGAAUACACAUUGUAACAAGAAAGCUCAUAUAGAAAGCAGCCUCUCUAACCAUGGCCUCAACAGACGUUUGCAGAUUAACGAAUUACAGACAGAACUUCAUAAGAUCAUAAUCUUUUUUUUUCGCGAUCGGGACUUCACCCGUAUUUCAUUAAGAGGGAAACAAGGAAACAACAUACAGAGAAAGAAUGCAGGAUUUAGGAAGGCCAAAUGUAAGGAUUGCACCCAGGGGAAC
rnacentral:lncRNA from 1 species